rnacentral:rRNA from 1 species
GAUGAAGGCUGGCGGCGUGCCUAAUAAAUGCAAGUCGAGCGAACGGACGAGAAGCUUGCUUCUCUGAUGUUAGCGGCGGACGGGUGAGUAACACGUGGAUAACCUACCUAUAAGACUGGGAUAACUUCGGGAAACCGGAGCUAAUACCGGGUAAUAUUUUGAAACGCAUGGUUCAAAAGUGAAAGACGGUCUUGCUGUCUCUUAUAGAUGGAUCCGCGCUGCAUUAGCUAUGUGGUAAGGUAACGGCUUACGAAGGCAACGAUGCAUAGCCGACCUGUGAGGCUCACCGGCCACCCUGGAACUGCGGCUCGGUCCAUCCUCCUACGGGAGGCAGCAGUAUGUACUCUUCCGCAUAGCUCUGAAGCCUGCCGGAGCAACCCCGCGUGAGAUAUGUAGGUCUUCGGAUCGUAAAGCGCUGUUAUUAGUGAAGAACAUAUGUGUAAGUAACUGUGCACAUCUUGACGGUACCUAGUCAGAGAGCCACGGCUAACUACGUG